rnacentral:misc_RNA from 1 species
AACGCACGAGACCUGCGGACCUGCGGAAGGAUCAUUAAUGAGAAGCUGCCCCUCGUGGGUAGACCUCCCACCCUCUGUGAGCUUACCUUUGUUGCUUUGGCAGGCCCGUCCUCUGGACCGCCGGCUUCGGCUGGCCCGUGCCUGCCAGAGGAUUCCAAACCCUGUCUGUCAGUGUUGUCUGAGUCUAUAUGAAAUCGUUAAAACUUUCAACAACGGAUCUCUAGAUCGGAAGAGCACACG